AUUAAACCAUUAUGCUGAGAAAUCGCUCUAUCCAUAGCAAAUAGACAGGAUUAAAAUCGUUCGUUUUCAUUGCCUAGACGUGCAAUUCCUUAAUGAGUCAGCAACACGGUUAUUCUCGCUAUAAGUUUGUUUAUUAAAUAACUACACUUGAAUCCGGCCAAUGUACAUGUCCCACUGGCGUCUUAACGUGGUCCGGCUCUGUAGCUGCUGGCAAGGCGGCUACCAGUUUAUCCGGUCCUUCCACCAAGCAACUGGUACCCGGAAAAAAACAGCUCAGCCUUUAAUAAAGCGCUGAUUUGCUACCGCGUAUAAUAUUUACCCCGCCCGCUGCGCCGGGACGGAGGUUAACGCCGUGCAGUCCGCGGGGUAGCGGGUACCCUUACCCGCGGCCGGCAGUGAAGCGCAACGCAGAUGUUCCACUUCAUACCAGCCAGCUGGACUCUUACUAUUUUGUUAAUACGCUUCAGAAAAAUAAUUAAAAAAAUGUUUAUGUUUUGUUAAUACAACUUAACUCCCAGGGCAGGCAGCACCCCUGGCACGCAGCUGGUGAGCUCCGUCCAGUCGGCGUGCAGCCCGCAGCUCCAGCCCGUGGAGAAGCGCGAGAACAGCCACGUCUCCUUCCUAUUCGGCCGGUAGCAUGUGCACUUCUUCUGGCCGGGUCGGCAAUCGCAGGGCACCUCCAGGCGCACGUUUUGAACCAGGUGGCGCCCGAAGGUGGUGCCCCCCGUCUUCUGGAUGUGCAGGAACACGAUCACGUCCUCCCCCUUGAUCUUGAAGUCCACCGUGCGCUCCAGGUCCCGGACGGGGAAGUAGUACUUCUUAACGUAAUGCGGGUCCGGAGUGGGGAAGAUAUCCGUGUUGUCCUCCGCAAGGUACCCCUGCGGCGCCCCGAAGUUCAUCACCCCGGGAGCCACGUACUGGUACAGGAUGAGCAUGAAGAAGACGGAGCCGGCGACGAUUAACAAGAAUUUGCUGGUCCUCUCAACCAUGUUCCUGCCAGGGGCGUCCAGACCUUACCAUCUCGCAGUGAUCGGUGUAGCGGGUGCUGGGCUCGGCUCCGCUGCCAGUAUCCGCAGGACCUCUAGCCUGCAGUUGGGCUUUACAUGGUGCGAUUCGCCGGACACAUGGCAUGCACACCUCACCCGCUCCGUCUUCACAGCUGACUGCUGCGAUCGUGCGGCGCGCCGCUGCGGCUCCUCUCUCUCCGAGCCACCACCACCAUCAUCAUCAUCAUCAUCACCCUCAUCAUCACCAUCGCUGUCGUCAGAAUCGCAUAGAUUAGCGACACCCACUUUCCCCGCGCAUACACUCCCUACUCGCGCAGCCAGAUACUCUCAGGCACAAGCGCAUCUCACACAAAAAGAAACGAUAGAAAGACAUUUAAUGCUUUGCUUCACGUCAGGCGCCCGCACUGUUCGGGGCGUAGGAUGAAUCUAAGCGCCUUUUCUGCUGAAUCCACUUUUGUUUCACAAUAUUCCACGCAUAUGCAGAAGAUAGCAAAGUAUCACCUUAUUUGUUAAAUAAUAAAAUAAUGAUCAUGUAACUGAAAGUUCAUUCAGAACUACUUAAACGAGCUAAGAUUUUCUAUACAAAAGCCAAACUGGAAAAACUGGAAACUGGAACUGGAAAUUCAGAUUUCUUAUAAUGUUGGGGUUAACAUUGACAGUUGCAAAUUUACAUAUGAGGUUAAAGACUGCUUUGGCUAAUUUUACGACGUCACUGAAAAAUAAAAUCUGAACAGUAUUUAAGGGAAGGCGUACAUUACGUAUAAUAAAAUUAUAAUUAAUAUAUGCCAUUAAAAAUUUUGCACAAGUGUAGAAAAUUAUCACGGAACACCAAGUAUAUAUUAUGGACCAAAACGUAAAUAACCUAAGUGUGACAGAGACAGUGUGACUAAAGCAGUUUGCCGAGCGUUUAUAUGGAAAAGGGGGUCGUGAAACAGGGAAUCAAUCUUGUCAAGCGUAGAAAAGUAUGAUGUUUGAGCGGCGCUGCUUGCCUGCCAGCCGAAAGGGGGCAGCCGUCUGCAGUGUCUGAUGCUGGAUUUGAGAAACAAGCGGUCAUUAUGUCUUGUUUUGAGCGAGCUUGAGCGAUUAUCGCAGUUAUUUUAUCUGAAGUACACGCCAAAUACGCAACUACUAAACACAUAAAAUUAACAAUCCAGUUGCUAUACAACAUUAAUACUACCACAUAUCCUAUCAAUGUUUUAUCCUGUUUCCGGUUAAAAUAAUUAAUAAAUAUUCCAUUACUACAUA